rnacentral:misc_RNA from 1 species
CUUACCACCACUUGGGCAGUUGGUGUCUCUACAAAAACUGUCAAUCACAGACUUUCAUGGAAUACUGAUUGUUGGUUCUGAGUUCUAUGGAAGCUGCAUAUCCGUGAAGAAGCCAUUUGCAUCUCUCAGAAGUUUAACAUUUGAAAGGAUUACAGAAUGGCUGGAAUGGACUCCUUAUGUAGCUGAAGAUGAAGGUGAAGCCUUCCCUUUCCUCCAAGAGCUUUACAUAAGAG